AGUGACAGUCACAGUGUUUCUUAAGCUCUUACUAGACUGCAACAACGGCAAAUGAUCAAAGACAGGAAAAGGAUGCAACACUCUAGAGAUUUUAAAAAUGACGGUUGUGAUCAUCAGACAAUAAAAUGUUUAUUAGGACAGCAGGACCACAGAACAACGUGUACACUGCAAAAAAAAUCAUAAAUUGCAGAAGAUCCGUGGAGCAUCAGAAACUGCGAGAGAAUUGAACAUUUGGAAAAGUGGAAAAUGGCAAAUAAAGAGGACGAGACACAAUCUAAUCAAUCAAGAAAGAAAAAGGUGCUAAGACGAGUAAGACCGAGCAGCAUUAACAGUGGCAGACCAAACUUUUCUUAUGAUAAAGACAAUCCUGAAGAGAUUCAUUCUGAUCCUUCAGAUGGAUGUACAGAAAAGAUGACCUGGCCUCCACAGUCACCGGACCUGAACCCAAUCGAGAUGGUUUAGGGGUGA